ACCACGCUUCACAGCGGUAUAGUUCGGGUUUCGGGAUGUGGUCGAUUAGUAGCGCACGGCCUGCCUUCACGAGAAGCUACAACUCGUCGGCCUCCCUCUUUUCUACCUCUCCGCUACCGACGAUUCAUUCCAACCUCUGCAAGUGAUCAACUUUUCGCAAUAGCUCGGAAAUAAAAAGCGGACUCCAGCUAAUCGAAUGGAUACGCGAAGCAACUCGAGGACUUCUGACACCACAUGCACAGCGAACACUGGAGGAAAAUGGAGAUUGCCUUAUGUGACUGGCAGAUGUGGGACUGGCAGAUGUGCAAGCGAGAAGACGAGCGAGUGGGCGUAAGAUGGGAGUAAGAAGAGACGUGCACGGACUGUAGUAGGAGCAUGGAGGUCAUGUAAAGAUGAUGGAUGUCAGGGACGCAUGAAAGGAGGAAAUUACUUCAUCUGACGGGAGAAGUGUUGCAGACGUAAGGAGUUCAUUUACACGUGUGAGAGCUUCGUUCAUCAAAGGCUGCAUGUUGCCUGCUGAAGUUGAAUUACCUGUGGCUUCUGGGACUGUGUUUCCAUUUAGGGUUUAGUUAUGUGUAGAUAUACAAUGAAAUGUGUUGCUUUACUUGUACGUGCAUGGAAGUGUUUAAUUUUAUACAGGAGAAGACUUUAGCUAUCUAUGGAUGUUGUUUAAGCCUUUGUGUUUACCUGCUUGUUUGUUUGUUUAUUUGUGUGUGUGUGUGUGUGUGUGUGUGUGUGUGUGUGUGUGUGUGUGUGUGUGUGUGUGUGUUUGCGUUUGUAGUCGUUUAAUAUCUGUUUUUCUCUGUCUUUGUUUCAGGGUGUCAUAUGUAUCCUAUACUUAUCUUGUAUGUAGGUGGAGGUGAUGCAGGUGUUAUAAAAGUUGUUAGGAAAUAAGAAUCCUUCAGAAUCCGCCACAUCCUUCAUCCUCACACUGGCCAAGAUUCCCAUCCGCUUAACCUUUCCCUGUAUACCAACUCCUUGCCGCUGUGGCUGUCACGUCAUGAUGAGCUUUAAAUCAUGUUGGGCUUCAAGGAUAAACAUUCCCAACACAAGGCAUGAGAUACUCCGAAUUCACACCUGAACACCUAACGCCUGCACAUUUAGCAAACUAGGACAUAAGGCAUAAUUAGUACAGUCAUCACUGAAGUCUAAUAGCACCUCUCGCUUUAUUUUUUGGUAUUAAGUCCUUUGAUUUACUGGCAAUCUCGUGUUGAAACUGUGGUGAUUUGUAGUUUCUUCAUGAGUACGAGGAUUAAGAUUGAGGGAAAGCUUUUAUCAUAGUGGGAGUACGCUGUGAUACUUGACUUCUGACUACUACUAUACAAAAGACACUGAGCGCUCGGAACCCUUUGUAUACAGUGUCUCGGUUUCUGAUAUAAAAAGCUCUGUUCCUGCAGCGGGUCGUGCAGCUGCUUUACAUACAAAUCGCACGGGUUAUCACGAGCCGCGCGAGGAGGUCGACAACAAAAACAGUUCCUUGCCAAAUUUCCAUUCCUUCCCCACCUACAGGAAACUGGAAAUUAACUCUCAUGAAAGUAUAAUUUGACCAAAUCGCCGCCGCUACAUCCUUACCAGAGGAGGGAAGAUAAAUCGAUGUUCUUUUUCUCCAUUCUUCUUCCUGUUUCUCUUCGUAUACCAAUAAUCAUCUUUUUCCUUCUUUCCAUUCAUCUUUUCUUUCUAUGCCUACGUUCCCAUCCUUAUCACAUGCUUUCUCUAUCUUUUUUUCAACAAGUGCUUCCUUUCUCCAUUUUGAUCAAUCUCCUGUGUACAUGAUUGGGUUUUCCUCCUUUUCAUUUUCUCUUACUUAACUUACAACUCUUCACUUCCUCUUGCCCAGUCCAUCUUUAGCUUUCCCUUCAUCCACAUUCGCCCUUACAUCCUUACAUACCCUAAACUUUUACCGAUUUCCGUUUUCCUUCUAUUUUUUUGCUGUAUGAUUAUCCUUGUAGCCCUUUCAUCCAUCCUUAGCUUUAUUAUGUGUUUUCUCCUCUUCUUAGUAUCCAAUCUCUUUACUCCUUUUUCAUAUUGUCUCCUUCUUAUAUCACUCUUCUGCCUCUAUCAGCCAUCUAUUCCAAUCGUAUUUUCUUUCCAUCCCUUCUUUCCAUCUAGUCUGCAAGCAUUUCUCUCUUUCUGAAAUAUCGUGUCUUCGUGUUUCCCUCUCAUUGACAGCAAAUAGUGUAGCACUGUCUUGUGAAAUGAACUUAGGUAACUCCUUGGUCUAGCCAUAUUGUCUGUCAAUCCUCUUGCAACGCAACAACAUUUGCUCUUCUACUAAAAUCAUGAUUUCUCUUCUAUAGCUGUCGCUCACUAGAAACAUCCGUUAAUUUACAGAAUCACCAAAUGUUAGACAGAAUUGAGACAAAAAAUAAACAUUUAUGAAUAAGUAAUUAAAUAUUAUUUCAUCUUCAUGAAUAAGAAAACACGGCUUCGUACAUAAUAAACGAUUCUUGGUGUGUACUGAUUGAAUCGAAGCUGACGCUGUAGGAAUGAAAGUUACAUAACAGGUAUUAUCGAAAUAGCCGUAGCUAAUUCAACUCGGGACAGAUUAUUUCUGGAUGGAGUAUGAUGUCUUAUACAUAAAAGUGUGGUCUGUAUAAUGUAUUUA